UUAAGUGACUAAGCGUACACGGUGGAUGCCUGGGCAGUCAGAGGCGAUGAAGGACGUACUAACUUGCGAUAAGCGCAGAUAAGGCAGUAAGAGCCGUUUGAGUCUGCGAUUUCCGAAUGGGGAAACCCAACUGCAUAAGCAGUUACUGUUAACUGAAUACAUAGGUUAACAGAGCAAACCGGGGGAACUGAAACAUCUAAGUACCCCGAGGAGAAGAAAUCAACCGAGAUUCCGGUAGUAGCGGCGAGCGAACCUGGAUUAGCCCUUAAGCACUCGGUGAAGUAGGUGAACAAGCUGGAAAGCUUGGCGAUACAGGGUGAUAGCCCCGUAACCGACGCUUCAUCGAGCGUGAAAUCGAGUAGGGCGGGACACGUGAUAUCCUGUCUGAAUAUGGGGGGACCAUCCUCCAAGGCUAAAUACUCCUGACUGACCGAUAGUGAACCAGUACCGUGAGGGAAAGGCGAAAAGAACCCCUGUGAGGGGAGUGAAAUAGAACCUGAAACCGUGUACGUACAAGCAGUAGGAGCACCUUCGUGGUGUGACUGCGUACCUUUUGUAUAAUGGGUCAGCGACUUAUAUUCAGUGGCAAGGUUAACCGUAUAGGGGAGCCGUAGCGAAAGCGAGUCUUAACUGGGCGCUCAGUCUCUGGAUAUAGACCCGAAACCGGGUGAUCUAGCCAUGGGCAGGUUGAAGGUUGAGUAACAUCAACUGGAGGACCGAACCGACUAAUGUUGAAAAAUUAGCGGAUGACUUGUGGCUAGGGGUGAAAGGCCAAUCAAACUCGGAGAUAGCUGGUUCUCCCCGAAAGCUAUUUAGGUAGCGCCUCGGACGAAUACUACUGGGGGUAGAGCACUGUUAAGGCUAGGGGGUCAUCCCGACUUACCAACCCUUUGCAAACUCCGAAUACCAGUAAGUACUAUCCGGGAGACACACGGCGGGUGCUAACGUCCGUCGUGGAGAGGGAAACAACCCAGACCGCCAGCUAAGGUCCCAAAGUAUUGCUAAGUGGGAAACGAUGUGGGAAGGCUCAGACAGCUAGGAUGUUGGCUUAGAAGCAGCCAUCAUUUAAAGAAAGCGUAAUAGCUCACUAGUCGAGUCGGCCUGCGCGGAAGAUGUAACGGGGCUAAGCAAUACACCGAAGCUGCGGCAAUGUCUUUUAGACAUUGGGUAGGGGAGCGUUCUGUAAGCCGUUGAAGGUGAAUCGUAAGGUUUGCUGGAGGUAUCAGAAGUGCGAAUGCUGACAUGAGUAACGACAAAGGGGGUGAAAAACCUCCUCGCCGGAAGACCAAGGGUUCCUGUCCAACGUUAAUCGGGGCAGGGUGAGUCGACCCCUAAGGUGAGGCCGAAAGGCGUAAUCGAUGGGAAACGGGUUAAUAUUCCCGUACUUCUGACUAUUGCGAUGGGGGGACGGAGAAGGCUAGGUGGGCCAGGCGACGGUUGUCCUGGUUCAAGUGCGUAGGCUUGAGAGUUAGGUAAAUCCGGCUCUCUCUAAGGCUGAGACACGNUAAUACCUUAAUCAUUUGACGUUACCUACAGAAGAAGCACCGGCUAACUCCGUGCCAGCAGCCGCGGUAAUACGGAGGGUGCAAGCGUUAAUCGGAAUUACUGGGCGUAAAGCGCAUGCAGGUGGUUUGUUAAGUCAGAUGUGAAAGCCCUGGGCUCAACCUAGGAAUCGCAUUUGAAACUGACAAGCUAGAGUACUGUAGAGGGGGGUAGAAUUUCAGGUGUAGCGGUGAAAUGCGUAGAGAUCUGAAGGAAUACCGGUGGCGAAGGCGGCCCCCUGGACAGAUACUGACACUCAGAUGCGAAAGCGUGGGGAGCAAACAGGAUUAGAUACCCUGGUAGUCCACGCCGUAAACGAUGUCUACUUGGAGGUUGUGCCCUAGAGGUGUGGCUUUCGGAGCUAACGCGUUAAGUAGACCGCCUGGGGAGUACGGUCGCAAGAUUAAAACUCAAAUGAAUUGACGGGGGCCCGCACAAGCGGUGGAGCAUGUGGUUUAAUUCGAUGCAACGCGAAGAACCUUACCUACUCUUGACAUCCAGAGAAUCUAGCGGAGACGCUGGAGUGCCUUCGGGAGCUCUGAGACAGGUGCUGCAUGGCUGUCGUCAGCUCGUGUUGUGAAAUGUUGGGUUAAGUCCCGCAACGAGCGCAACCCUUAUCCUUGUUUGCCAGCACGUAAUGGUGGGAACUCCAGGGAGACUGCCGGUGAUAAACCGGAGGAAGGUGGGGACGACGUCAAGUCAUCAUGGCCCUUACGAGUAGGGCUACACACGUGCUACA
rnacentral:rRNA from 1 species